GGGGGGGGGGGGGGGGGGGGGGGGGGCAUAUGCGUACGCAGCGGCCAUCCAUGGCGGCUCUGGUUGAUGCAAGAGAACGAGGGGAGCAGCUCGCGAGGGCCGGCGCUGGGAAUAGAGCGUAGGCGGGUGGAUCUGGCGAUUCCAAAGGGGCUGCAGCGACGAGCGGCUCCGUGGGCAGCGACCAGCGGGGUUCAAGCGGCGGCUGCCAUGAUGGUUUGUCAGAUAUACUUGCAGUUUAUGCAUGGGUUGAUCCUUCCACUGGAUACUGUCAAGGUAUGAGCGAUCUGCUUUCCCCUUUUGUUGUUUUAUACGAGGAUGAUACAGAUGCCUUUUGGUGUUUUCACAUGCUACUGAGAAGGAUGCAUGAAAAUUUGCAGCUCGAGGGACCGACAUGAGUUAUGAAUCAGUUGGAAGCAUUAUGGGAGAUCAUGGAAUUGAUAGAAACGGAAGUAAUAAACUGGUAAGGAUCAAACAGGCAAAUGGAGUCCUAAUUUUCUGUUGGAAAUUCACAUGAUAUGGGUCUAUGUUUGUGGCUUCAACAGACUGCAUAUGCCCCAAGAUUUGAGGUGUGAGUGUGUGACUUGAUUUUUUUGUUGUUACAGUUAAUCGGUAAUGGAUAAAUCAAAUUUUUUUAUGUAGAUUGGUAAGACUAAUUAAGUUAAAAAUUUCUUAUUUAUGGGUUAUAAUUUCUUACACCAAAAGCAGAUUUGUGGAUGUUUAAUAGAUUUUCAGAGGGAUAUAAUACUAGAAGUGUGAAUGUUUGUCAAUUUUCAGAGGGAAAUAAGCCAACAGAAUACACAUAAAUACAUGGUUGCUUUGGGAAAUUUUGGAUGUUACCCAUGCUAAUGCAUGAUGGUAGUUGCUGCGAAGCUCAUCUUAUCAAUCCAUCAUGAAUCAUCCCAGCACCACAAAUUGUCUAUUUAGUUCAUCACAAACAUCAGUAUCACGUCGAUAACGAAGAUAAAUCAGAGCUCAAUGCAGAACCCUUGGUACCUCCUCCAUGUUAUUUUAGGACAAGAAAACAACCCAAAAAACCAUUUAUGCUCAGCUAGCUUCAGAUUUCUGUUUUUGCAUAAUUAAGAUGACAAGAUUGCAGACAUACGAUACUAGAUAGCUAAUUUUAAUCCCAUUACAAUGUUAUAGAUAGCUUCCUGAGCAUACAUGUGUCAUUGCUCCAUGUUUUUACACCAGGAAGUGGCACAUAUUGAACUAACAUGGCACCUUUCACUGGGCUGACAAAGUUGAGUUUUUUUCCCAUUUUUGCUGAGGAGUCGGCAUAUGCUGCAUGCACGCGCUCGUCCUCUGCUCAGACACCUUCAAGGCUCUCGACCUCAGCCAAUGAUCUGCUGAUGAUAACGUGGCAGCCACGAACUUGUGGUUGCUGAGCGUGCGCUCCUUCUUCUGGUUACAAAGCGACCAUGACAAGAUGACUGUGGUGGUCUUGGCUUUUAGGAUGGAGGCCUUCUGCUGCAUUUUCUCAUGGACGGACCGACCAAUGCAGCAUUCCUUGCUACAAUUUCUUUCUCAUAGAAACUGAAAGUAUAUGGUCUGGAUUCAUAUUAGUGUAUGUAUGAGAACUGACUCAGAGUAUGUUGGUCAUUUGCGUUCUGAAUCUUUUUGCUGUAUGAUUUCUAUGGGAGAGAAUGAUACAUGAGCCAGUAAUAAUACAACUAAAGUUUGUGACCAUAUCAUUAUAAAAUUGUUGGCUAGAUAAUGUA